rnacentral:rRNA from 1 species
AGCAGCCGCGGUAAUUCCAGCUCCAAUAGCGUAUAUUAAAGUUGUUGCAGUUAAAAGCUCGUAGUUGAAUUUCGGGGUUAGUAGGUUGGUCAUGCCUCUGGUAUGUACUGGUCUCACUGAUUCCUCCUUCCUGAUGAGCCGUAAUGCCAUUAAUUUGGUGUUGCGGGGAAUUUGGACUGUUACUUUGAAAAAAUUAGAGUGUUUAAAGCAAGCUAACACUUGAAUACAUUAGCAUGGAAUAAUGAAAUAGGACGUUUGAUUCUAUUUUGUUGGUUUCUAGGAUCGACGUAAUGAUUAAUAGGGAUAGUUGGGGGCAUUAGUAUUCAAUUGUCAGAGGUGAAAUUCUUGGAUUUAUUGAAGACUAACUACUGCGAAAGCAUUUGCCAAGGAUGUUUUCAUUAAUCAAGAACAAAAGUUAGGGGAUCGAAGACGAUCAGAUACCGUCGUAGUCUUAACCAUAAACUAUGCCGACUAGGGAUCGGAUGAUGUUAAUUUUUUAAUGACUCACUCGGCGCCUUAC